CCUGGUGGCCAUAGCGUGGGGGUUCCACCCGAUCCCAUCCCGAACUCGGUAGUUAAGCCCCACAGCGCCGAUAAUACUUCGCGGGAGACCGUGCGGGAAGGUAGGACGUUGCCAGGA
rnacentral:rRNA from 1 species